UUUUCAGUGUCGCAGCGAAAGCGAUAAACACACCGCCUGGGGAGUACGACCGCAAGGUUAAAACUCAAAUGAAUUGACGGGGACCCGCACAAGUAGUGGAGCAUGUGGUUUAAUUCGAAGAUACGCGCAGAACCUUACCAACACUUGACAUGUUCGUCGCGACUCUAAGAGAUUAGAGUUUUCGGUUCGGCCGGACGAAACACAGGUGCUGCAUGGCUGUCGUCAGCUCGUGUCGUGAGAUGUUGGGUUAAGUCCCGCAACGAGCGCAACCCUCACUUUUAGUUGCCAUCAUUAAGUUGGGCACUCUGAAAGAACUGCCAGUGAUAAGCUGGAGGAAGGUGGGGAUGACGUCAAGUCCUCAUGGCCCUUACGUGUUGGGCUACACACGUGCUACAAUGGUAUCUACAACAGGAAGCAAGACUGCGAGGUCAAGCAAAUCCUUAAAAGAUACCUCAGUUCGGAUUGCACUCUGCAACUCGAGUGCAUGAAGCUGGAAUUACUAGUAAUCGUGGAUCAGCGUGCCACGGUGAAUGCGUUCCCGGGUCUUGUACACACCGCCCGUCACACCAUGGGAGUUGGUUCUACCUUAAGGCAAGGUUUAAAACCCUUGACCACGGUAUAGUCAGCGACUGGGGUGAAGUCGUAACAAGGUAGCCGUAGGGGAACCUGCGGCUGGAUUACCUCCUU
rnacentral:rRNA from 1 species